rnacentral:rRNA from 1 species
UACGUAGGCAGCAAGCGUUGUUCGGAGUUACUGGGCGUAAAGGGUGCGUAAGCGGUCCUAUAAGUAUGGUGUGAAAUCUCCCGGCUUAACUGGGAGGGUGCGCUAUAGACUGUGGGACUAGAGUGUGGGAGAGGAAAGUGGAAUUCCUGGUGUAGCGGUGAAAUGCGUAGAUAUCAGGAGGAACACCGGUGGUGUAAACGGCUUUCUGGACCAUAACUGACGCUGAGGCACGAAAGCGUGGGUAGCAAACAGG